rnacentral:rRNA from 1 species
GUCCACGCCGUAAACGUUGGGCGCUAGGUGUGGGGUUCUUCCACGGAUUCCGCGCCGUAGCUAACGCAUUAAGCGCCCCGCCUGGGGAGUACGGCCGCAAGGCUAAAACUCAAAGGAAUUGACGGGGGCCCGCACAAGCGGCGGAGCAUGUUGCUUAAUUCGACGCAACGCGAAGAACCUUACCAAGGCUUGACAUUGCCGGAAAACCUGCAGAGAUGUGGGGUCCUUUUUGGGCCGGUGACAGGUGGUGCAUGGCUGUCGU